CUGCACAAACAGCUGUGCUCCCAGUGACCUCAUACCUGCGCCCGCAUGGAACAUGCUGCAUGCUCUCACCUUGCCCAGGUAAGUGCAGACGGACGAAAAGAAAAGGUGGCCAUGUUCAACCUCAGUAUGUGUAUGUGUGUGCCUUCCUCAAGGACAAAUAUGUCCAUACUGCCUUCCUGUUUAGCACUUUAUUUGUUUCAACUUUCUGUCUUUCUUUUUGAUUUUCAAGGAGUAUUAUUUUAGGACAAUUGAGUUGACUUCCGAAAUGCACUGCAUUUUUAAACUUCUUAUACCUCCCAGAACAGGGACAAGCAACAGGAUUUGGGAAAAGUAUGUUAGAUGUAUCUUAUUUAGUUGAAACAUGCUCUCUUAUGUGGUGGCAAAGACCUUGUCUUCCCUCGCUGCAAACAUUCCAUUAAUUUACUAUGGACGUAUGGCUGUAGAACUGCUGCUCUGCAACAGAGGACAAGCCAACUGACCACACAUGGGUGGACUGACAACAUGGCACUAGAAAGCCAACAUGGACAAGGUCAUUUCCAUAGACUGUAUGCAGAGAUACAUCUCAGAUUCGGUAUGUCCAUCUCUUUCUC